UGGGGAAUAUUGCACAAUGGGCGAAAGCCUGAUGCAGCCAUGCCGCGUGUGUGAAGAAGGCCUUAGGGUUGUAAAGCACUUUCAGCGAGGAGGAAAGGAUUAAAGUUAAUACCUUUGAUCUGUGACGUUACUCGCAGAGAAGCACCGGCUAACUCCGUGCCAGCAGCCGCGGUAAUACGGAGGGUGCGAGCGUUAAUCGGAAUUACUGGGCGUAAGCGUGCGUAGGCGCUACUUAAGUUGGAUGUGAAAGCCUGGGCUCAACCUGGGACUGCAUCCAAAACUGAUGGCUAGAGUGCGAGAGAGGAGUGUGGAAUUUCCUGUGUAGCGUGAAAUGCGUAGAUAUAGGAAGGAACACCAGUGGCGAAGGCGACACUCUGGCUUGACACUGACGCUGAGGUACGAAAGCGUGGGGAGCAAACAGGAUUAGAUACCCUGGUAGUCCACGCCGUAAACGAUGUCUACUAGUUGUCCGUUGUCUUGUACGAUGGGUAACGCAGCUAACGCGAUAAGUAGACCGCCUGGGGAGUACGGCCGCAAGGUUA
rnacentral:rRNA from 1 species